ACGAACGCUGGCGGCGUGCUUAACCCCUGCCAGUCGAACGGUGAAGCGCCUUCCUUUUUGGUGGGUGUGGAUGAGCGGCGAACGGGUGAGUAACACGUGAGUAACCUGCCCCCUUCUUCUGGAUAACCGCAUGAAAGUGUGGCUAAUACGGGAUAUUCUGGGUCUGUCGCAUGAUGGGUCUGGGAAAGAUAUUGUUUCGGUGGGGGAUGGGCUCGCGGCCUAUCAGCUUGUUGGUGGGGUGAUGGCCUACCAAGGCGGUGACGGGUAGCCGGCCUGAGAGGGUGGACGGUCACACUGGGACUGAGACACGGCCCAGACUCCUACGGGAGGCAGCAGUGGGGAAUAGUGCACAAUGGGCGCAAGCCUGAUGCAGCGACGCCGCGUGAGGGAUGGAGGCCUUCGGGUUGUGAACCUCUUUCGCCAGUGAAGCAGGCCUGCCUCGUUUGUGGGUGGGUUGACGGUAGCUGGAUAAGAAGCGCCGGCUAACUACGUG
rnacentral:rRNA from 1 species